GUGGAAAGGCUGAUAACGAUGGCGGCCGACAGAGGCCAGGUGACCUGAAGUGUGGAGGGAGCAGAGGUACCGCCUUAGGGUUCUCAAUAGGCCUCAUUCAGAGAAGCCAUUCUAAGAUUUCACACCAGAUCAUGGUACGUGAAUGGUAGUUGGUCUCUAGUCGUUAGGUAAUGCACACACCACUGGUGAAUGGUAGUUGGUCUCUAGUCGUUAGGUAAUGCACACACCACUGGUGAAUGGUAGUUGGUCUCUAGUCGUUAGGUAAUGCACACACCACUGGUGAAUGGUAGUUGGUCUCUAGUCGUUAGGUAAUGCACACACCACUGGUGAAUGGUAGUUGGUCUCUAGUCGUUAGGUAAUGCACACACCACUGGUGAAUGGUAGUUGGUCUCUAGUCGUUAGGUAAUGCACACACCACUGGUGAAUGGUAGUUGGUCUCUAGUCGUUAGGUAAUGCACACACCACUGGUGAAUGGUAGUUGGUCUCUAGUCGUUAGGUAAUGCACACACCACUGGUGAAUGGUAGUUGGUCUCUAGUCGUUAGGUAAUGCACACACCACUGGUGAAUGGUAGUUGGUCUCUAGUCGUUAGGUAAUGCACACACCACUGGUGAAUGGUAGUUGGUCUCUAGUCGUUAGUAAUGCACACACCACAUUGGAUUGAAGAUUUUCUAUUUUGUUUUCUGAUUUGUGUCAAGCUUUCCUGAAUUCACAACUAAAGUAUCCUUGUGGAAACAUAGUAUACUUUUAAUCCAAUUAAGUCUAAAUAAAGAGCAGUGUCUUAGAAUUGGGAGUGGGUUGAACUGUCAACAGGAUUGGAGGAGUCGGGUUUGAAGAGCAUCACAUUGGGACAGAGCAGGAGAAUGAAGACUAGGUUGUGACUAAAUCACACCUAUCAUAGAACAAUAUGGAGGAGGUUGAUAAGAUCACGAUUAGGGCUGUAAAUGUAACGGGUGUGUGAAGACUGGAGACAGACAGUCGCUCAGCUCAGACUACAAUCGGGCGCGCACACACACCACAGACAGAAGAUAGCGAUGCACAGUGUCAGGAGCCUGCAUGACAGUUUUAAAGCCUACAAUCAAUCAGAGACAGGCAAGCUCAAAGACCUGAAUUGCAACAACUGCUGUUCAGUAAAAAUGAUCAAUGACUAGUCUAUUCUAUUGAAUUCACCAAUAACAGUUAGGACUAAUCUAGGUCUUGGAAAUCAGAGCCAGAAACCCAAUCACAUCCAUUUGCAAGAGGCUAUUUUGCCUCAAUCUCAAGCAGUAGACUCUUUCAUAGUAGGCCAUGAAUGUAAGUUUAAAGCUGCAAUAUGUAACUUUUUGGAUGACCCAACCAAAUUCACAUAGAAAUGUGGGUUAUAAAUCUGUCAAUCUCAUUGAAAGCAAGUCUAAGAAGUGGUAGAGCUGUUUUUUGUGUGCUAUUUCUGUCUUUUACUUUCAAUUGUGUACACCAGCUUCAAACAGUUGAAAGUACAAUAUUUUGGGUUCUAGAAAAUAUAUUUCACAGCAGUUUAGACGGUACAAUGGUUCUCUACACCAAACUUGCUUGUUUUGUCACAUAAACUGGAAUUAUGUGAACUGUUUGAAUUUUAGCAACCAGGAAAUGGCGGAGCGAUUUCUGCAUAGUGCAUCAUUAAUUAACUCAUGGAGAUUGA